rnacentral:rRNA from 1 species
AUUGAACGCUGGCGGCAGGCUUAACACAUGCAAGUCGAACGAGUGGCGGACGGGUGAGUAAUGCUUGGGAAUCUAGCUUAUGGAGGGGGAUAACUACGGGAAACUGUAGCUAAUACCGCGUACCAUAGGAUGAGCCCAAGUGGGAUUAGGUAGUUGGUGAGGUAAAGGCUCACCAAGCCGACGAUCCCUAGCUGGUCUGAGAGGAUGACCAGCCACACUGGGACUGAGACACGGCCCAGACUCCUACGGGAGGCAGCAGUGGGGAAUCUUCGGCAAUGGGGGCAACUUGACGGAGCCAUGCCGCGUGAAUGAAGAAGGCUUUCGGGUUGUAAAGCUCUGUCGGUAGCGAGGCGUUAACUACAGAAGAAGCACCGGCUAACUCCGUGCCAGCAGCCGCGGUAAUUC